AGUGAACGCUGGCGGUAGGCCUAACACAUGCAAGUCGAACGGCAGCACAGUAAGAGCUUGCUCUUACGGGUGGCGAGUGGCGGACGGGUGAGGAAUACAUCGGAAUCUACUUUUUCGUGGGGGAUAACGUAGGGAAACUUACGCUAAUACCGCAUACGACCUACGGGUGAAAGCAGGGGAUCUUCGGACCUUGCGCGAUUGAAUGAGCCGAUGUCGGAUUAGCUAGUUGGCGGGGUAAAGGCCCACCAAGGCGACGAUCCGUAGCUGGUCUGAGAGGAUGAUCAGCCGCACUGGAACGGAGACGCGGUCCAGACUCCUACGGGAAGCAGCAGUGGGGAAUAUUGGACAAUGGGCGCAAGCCUGAACCAGCCAUACCGCGUGGGUGAAGAAGGCCUUCGGGUUGUAAAGCCCUUUUGUUGGGAAAGAAAAGCAGCAGGUUAAUACCCCGCUGUUCUGACGGUACCCAAAGAAUAAGCACCGGCUAACUUCGUG
rnacentral:rRNA from 1 species